CACAAGGUGGCGCAAAAUGCUCAAAUAACCGCCUUUGAAACGAACGAGAGGAGUGACACCUGAUGGGAAGCUGCGUAUCCUGACAGCUUUCUGUCUGUCCCGUGAGGCAAUGGAUUUCUGCAGCUGCUGAAUGCAGAGUGACAACUGAGCUGAGCUGCGGACUUCACAGAGGGCUUUACGCCACAACCUCAUCCCUGGAGCCACCUCUUCCUCGCUGCUUAGAGGUCACAGAGAGUAAGACUGUGGUGUAACUGGACAGCAUUCACAUACAGUCUGUGACAUUAUCACACUGAAUGACCGAAAGUAAAGAAGGAAAUAGUCUUUAGUAGGGCUGAACGAUUUUGAAAAAAAAAUCUGUAAUUGCGAUUAUUUUGACUGAUAUUGUAAUUGUGAUAUACUAUGUGAUAAUGGGGGUAAUCAUAAUUAUCCACAUUUUCAUUGAAAAACAUAUUAAAAUGAAUUAUGGUGUGAUUUUUGCAA